UUGGCCCGGAAACAGGGAAAGGGAAUAACAUUCGAAAUGUAAAUAAGAAAUACUCAAGUUUAUAAAGAAAAAACGGGAAAAAGGGGAGGGGCUUUCAUUUCCAUUUUAAUGUUGACCCAUUAAUAGACAUGUCAAAUGACCUACCACAGGUAAGGUGCACAUAAUUACACAUAAUUUAUGGAAGGUAAAUGACAAAAUUACUCUGCCACAUUAACCAAGCUCUUCAAAGUUUUUUUCUUCUUUGUUCACCUAAAUUUAGGAAUUAAGUUGUCUGUUACAUCAGAAUCUUUACAACUAGAUAUAAACCUAUUUACCAUUCAUAACUGAGUAUAUUAACCCUUCCUAUUGACACAGUAGACAUCUACCACAGAAGAUAAAUCUGAUAAGGUCAAAUGUAAUAUGCAGGUCUCUUCCUCAUUGAAUCAAAUGAAAGCCAAUUCCCCACAUACUUAGAAUAUGGAAGCCAUCUGUUUUGAUCAUUCCAUGGCAUUCAUAAGAGAGUAAGUGAAGCAUCAUGAAGAAAGAAGGAUGUGACUAAUUGUCUGUACCAUUUGGAAUUGCAGCUAAGUGUACACUGUCCAGUAGGUACAGCAUGCGCCUACCUAUGCUCAUGCCAAUGUCAGGCACAUUAGUAUAGAACAAACUUGCCAGCUGAACAUACAAAGGAAAAACGCCAGAUUCUUGAGCAUUCAAAGCUCCCUUGUGUAUAAACUGUUUUGUACAAAUAGUAUAGACUACAGAUUGGGAUUAAAAAAUACCAAAAAUACCACUGAAGUGAUAAAAGAUUGAAUUUCUGCUGUCAUAAAGUAAAAUAAUAAUAAUAAAUUGGCCAUCUUAAGUUUUUCUGCUCACAGGUAGCUAUGUUUUUUGAAUGGCAGUUAGUGCAGUAGGUAUGAGAACCACACAUAUUGCCUUAAUUCUAACCACGAUUCUGUACUUCCUACUUUAUUUUGUUUCUAUCCUUCAGGGUUUUUUUUCCAAUUUAAGGAUAAGGAUAAAUAUAACUGUUUUAUCAAGGCGAUUGUAACUAUUAAGUGAAAUAUAUACAGGUACAUUAGUCAGGGUUCUCUAGAGAAACGGAACCGAUAGAAUAUAAACAGAAUUUACUAAAGUGGCUUACAGAUUAUGGUCCAAGUACUACAACAACUCCUAUCUCCAGCAGUCAUUCAGUUCACAAGGCUGGAUGUCUCAUCUAGUCUUCGGUACAUAGCAGAAUUUCAAAGACAUGGGUUCUAAUGCCAGUGACAAAAUGGAUUUAACCAAGAGUGAAAGGAAGCAGUCAAAGGGAAAGGACUUCUUUCUUCUUUGUUCUUUGUAUAAGCUUCCAGGAAAGGCCUUGGCCCAGAUUAAAGGUGGGUCUUAUAACCUCAAGUGUUAUGGAUUGAAGGUGGAUCUACUUAUAGCAGAUGAUGCAAUUAACUAAAAAUCCAUUGUGUGCCCACUGGCUUAAUUUUUUAGUUAAUUCUAGAUGUGGUCAUGCUGAAAAACAAGAGUAGCCAUUAUAACAGGUAUACACAAAUAUACACAUAGAUUCAAGUAGUAAUUGGAAGAACUAUAUUGUUUGUACUAUUAUUACCAAAAUCUAAAUUUGAAAACACAACCUAUUCUCUCCAAGCCACACUCUCAUUUGAGCUUCAUAUUUUUAAAUAGCUUUAUUAUUUGAAAAUUUCUUGCUUUUUUAUUGAAAAUACAUUCAUCUCAUACUACGCAUUCCAAACACAGUUCCCCUCCCUCCAACCCUCCCUGAUUCCCCUACCCUCUCUCACCAACUCCUACUCCAUCUUCAUUCAGAAAAAAGUAGGCUUCCAAAAGAGGCUAAACAAAUCAACCAUGACGUUGUGUGUGUGUGUGUGUGUGUGUGUGUGUGUGCGCGCGCGCGCGCGCGCGUGCGCGUGCGCGUGCGUGCAUGUGUGGUAGAUAGAUAGAUAGAUAGAAAUAAUAUAGAUAUAUAACUAAUAAGACAAGGCAAAAGCCCUCACACUGAGCCCCAAGACAGGAAAAGGAGUCAAAGACAUUUCUGCUCCCACAUUUAGGAGUCCCCAAAAACCAUCAAGCUAACAACCACAACAUAUACACAGGGGACCUAAUGCAGACUCUUGUCAUCCCCAUACUUGCCACUUAGUUUUUGUGGCUCUUGUGUGUCAUGUGGAGUUGGUUCUCUGGACUGUGUUUUCUUGGCCCUUCAUCUGACUCCUAUAAUCUUUUCCGCACUUCCCAACUCCUGUGUCUUGUGUGAGUGAUAUAGAUAUUCCAUUUAUGACUGGUGCUUCAUGUUUUAUACUCAACUGUUUAAUUUAGGGAGUCACUAAUGUAUAUCACUGACAUAUCAAAUCCAGGAUAUCUCAAAUUAUUGCUGUUUGAAUUCAGCUCAAAACAGGGUCCACAGAUUUGCAACUCUUGUACCACCACCAUUAUCUCCAAGACAGGAUGUUGCAAUCAUCUUAAAUAUUCUCUUUCUGUGUCUCCCACAUACGCCAAUGAGUAAUUUUGAAUGUGUAUAUUUUCCCACACCCUGGUAUCACAUUACUUUGAGAAUUCCUCAUCUACCUUCGGUAACAAGGUGAAAUUCUGAACUCUCAGUGAACUCUUGCCUACACAUAAGCCAUCCAAUACAAACUAGGCACUGUCCCCAUUUUUUUAAAGUAGAUAGUAACAAUGUCUACCCUGUCUACUUUAGAAGUCUACUGCUUUUAAGUCAAAGAUAAAAUUAUUUUCCUGUGCCCAGCUGACCUUGAAUAUUUCAGCCAAUUCCCUGCAGUUCCUUUUCUUUGUCUCUCAUUAUAUAUGAGCCAUUGACCUCUGAGAGCCCCUCCAGACGGUUUGCCUUGUAGGGUUAGCAGUCCAUCUUAAGUUCUUUGACAUCAACCACGACUGUAUCACCCUUGACUUCCUAAGAGUAAGGACCUCCCUCUUUCUGUGGAAGCCUCCAACUGAUCCUGUUCAUCUCAGUUUAUACAUCAUUCCUUGAGCACAACCCACCUGAUAAAUCUCACAUCAAUCUAAAUUACCUCCAUCACUAUUUUCUUCCAUUCCUUAUUAUAAUUAUUAAUUGCGUACAGCCUCUGUGUAGACUUAACCUCAGUUGCUUCAUUUAGAAUAUCAUAUUGCUGAAAAUUUUUUAUAUAACAGUUAUUCAUUCUAGAAGACUUUGCACCCAUACUCUGUUAUCAUCCAGUAAAGAAAUAAGUAUUCUUUGCUCUUCAAUAGCGAUACGCUUUCUAAAACCCCACUGACAAGGAAGAGGAUGUGACUCAUAGCUGUAGCAGAAUAAAGGUUACUCCUAAAAGAAAUGAGAAAAUUGAUCUUGUGCAAAUAAAUGUAAGGGGCAUGUUUCUACACUCAGCUGAUGGAAAAAUAAUUUAUAAAAGCUAAAGCCAAAUGCAGUAAGAGCAUAAAUCCUGUCUGUAAAUAUAAGUAUAGGAGAAGCCAUUUUGUUUCUGUUUGGAUUUUGGUUCAUUUGAAAACAGAAAGAAAACAGCUGUGUAGAUAGGGAGGUGGGGGAUAUCUGAGAGUAGUUGAAGAACGGGAGAGAAAAUACUCAAAAUAAAUUGAACAGUAUUUUCAAAACUAUUUUUUUAAAACUGUAGACAAAACAGAGAAAUCCCCCCAUUUUCUUGCUUUUAAUUUUGAAACUGCUAUCUGAUUUCAUAAAAAGUUCUUCUUCCAUGAAAAUCCAUGUUAUUGAAGUCACUUUAAAAAUAAAACUGUUGUCAGCUUUUUAAAUGUUAUCAAUUAUAAACUAUUCUAUAUUUCAAAAAUUAUGUCCAGAAAACUCAUAAAAAAUAGUGAGAUGGUUUAAAUAAUAUACUUAUUUUAUUGUUGAAUAUAAUAGGAAGACUUUUUGACUAUAGAAAUGUAACGCCUUUAAUUGAAGAAUAACACCUUUUAAAACUCACCUAUUAAUCAAACUUUCCUCAAGUGGAUAGCUCUGUGUGAAGUAAGGAUGUAAUUGGUCUUUCUUUGAACACUAAUUUUCAUGGGAAAUUAGUAUAUACAUAAAAAUAUCCUUAAGCUCAGAAUUCACUCAUAAAGUAUGUGUAGUAUAUUAAUAAUUUAUAUGAAUAUUAAUAUUUUAUACCUGAACCACUGGUGUGGGCUGCAUGCAGCUAAUUGCAUAUAAUAGUUAUCUAUUUUCAAAUAUGAAAUACAAUCUAAAUAAUAGAGUAUUAAAAGCUUGUAAACUAUUCUGUGAUAGGUAGCCAUUUAUCCUCCUAAGAACUCAUUUUUUAUGUAGUCUUUGAUGUCAUAGUGAAUUUGAUGGUAGAAUAGUAAGUUGCUUAUGUCUUUCUCCCUUUUUAUAUAACCUUCUUUCAUUACAAUCCAAUGCUGUAGCCUACAUAAGAUUAAACUCAAUAAAUUAUAUUCCAUCUUAUCACAAUUCAUAAAGGUAAAAUAAAUGAGGAAAGUUAUCACAAAGCAAGUAACUUCCUUAGAAUAACAGUACUAAAUUUUCAACUCAUCUAGAAACAAAAAUAACACAGUAUACUCAGAGAAUUCCUCAUACUUAAAAGCAAGACUGAAUCAAUAUUUAAUUAUAUUUGCUACAUUUUAAAAAAAACUCUUUUUAGCAGAUGUAUCCUUUCUCACUCCUCUACCUACACAGGGUUGCUUAAUGUAACAUAGUAUCCCUAAGGAAGAUCCCAGAAAAAUAUUUAAUGUAUCUUGAAAUAGCACUAAGUCUUAGUCUACUAGUGAUCUCUUCACUUAUUUCUUUAUUCAUUCCUUUACGUGGUCACUAGUUAUUGGUUGUAUGACAAACAAUAUAAUGAAAAAAUAAAUCUGGGGGAUAUAAAUAUUAUGGAGGGGAAUCUUUUUUAAAACCAGUGGAGACAGGAGACACUAUAUAGAUUUUAAUCUAUGUUUACAAACAACACAGCAACUGAUUCAAGAGUAACACUGAAAGGAUACAUUCAAGUUAGACUUUAAAAACAGGGCAACUUUUCCCUAAUCAUGGGAAGAAGACAAAGCAGGGCAGAGAAAGUCAUGCGACAGCACCAAUUUGUUUGUGAGACCUUGAAUGCCAUGCAUGCUUGAUCAUUCUCUGGCAGGAUAAUGGGAUAAUCUACCUCUCUAUUCUCCAGUGUAAAUGUUCAAAUGUUCAGCAAAACCUUGAAGCAGAAACUAGACACAUGCUGCACAAUAGAGGGGCUCCUGCUCAUACAUAUUUGUAGUUAUGUAGUUUACCUUCCAAAAAUGAAAAUAGUCCCAUUCUAAGUACGUGUGGGAUAUACAGAAUAUGUCUGUCAACACUCAAGUUCUACUGAACAGUAUCGUAUUACAGUUUUCUUGGGUUUUUUUUCCUAGAGAGGCAUUUCAAGAAAUGUAUAUGGAACUUCAAAUGCACUUCUUUAAAGUGUGUGAGUAGGGUUGAGUUUUGGUUAAAAUAGUUUUAAAUGCUAUUUCAAGAUACACUAGAAAUCUUUAAGGUGCUUUAGGAAUGAGGCAUGGUUUAAAACAUUGUGCUAUAGAAAAAAAUUUGACUAAAGCAAAUAGUAAAAGCAUAAGGUUUAGUGGCACAAUUUAUUUAAGUUGUGUAAAAAGGGAAAUGUAUUACUGAUUUUGUUUCAUUAUCAUUGAAUUUCAAGGAUGGCCCUGAAUUGCUUUAGCAAUCUCUGAACAUAUACUCCUUUCACUUUCUAAUAUGUCUGUCCAAAUCAUAGAUUCUAUGUUAUAUGCAUUUGUCCUCCUGGUCAUUGAAAGAUCUCAAAACCAGAACCAAGUUUAAAUAGAUUAUAGAUAUAUUCUAUUACUUUUCUUAUAUUUUCCCUAAGUCAACAUCAUGAACUCCUUACUAUAUCAGAUUGCCACUUCUGACAUACUAUGCUAUCCUUCUCUAUUUAAAGUGCACACUUACUGAGUUAGUAUAUUUAUUAUUUUAGUAACAUGAAUAUAUAUCAUGAAGCUGAAGAGUUAGAAACCCAUUUCUAAGUGUGUUUUAUAGUUAUUUUAAAAAUACUGCUAUGUACACAACACACAUACGUGCACAACCUUUUCUUUCUUUCUUUCUUCCUUUCUUUUUCCUUUUAUCCUUCCUUUCUUCCUUUUUCUGCAAGAUGAAAUUACAUAACAUACUAUAUGGUCAUAAUUUCCAAUGUUACAAUUUCCUCACCACUAUUCUAUUUUGUUCAUUCAGUGUUGUAGUUAUAUACAGAAAUAUCAAUGAAAAUUAUCAUGCUCAACUGAAAUAUGAGUUUGUCCCCAUUCUUAAUUAUCUAAUAUAUUUAAUAGAGUUCAGUGAGUCCUACAAAUCAAAAAUCAUUUUAGAUUCUUUUUAAGUAAUGUAAGGCAUUUUUUACAGUCAUUAGAAUUUGUACAAUAAGCCCAUUUAAUGUUUACUUUAAUAUACCUCAAUAUUAAAAGUUUAGUGCAUAUCUUAGCCUGUCCAAACCACAAUAUAAAAAUGCUAUAGGCUGGGUAGCUUGUUUACAACAUAAAAUUAUUUUACUAUUCUAAAGUUGCUAUUUGCGGUGCUUUGGAUAUUCUUGGCCCAGAGUGUAGCACUACUGGGAGGUGUGGCCUUGUUGGAGUACAUUUGUCACUGUGGUGUGGGCUUUUACCCCUCCUUCUAGCUACCUGGAAUACAAUCUGCUCCUGACUGCCGUCGGUUCAAGAUAUAGAACCUCAGCCUUCUCCAGCACCAUGUCUGCAUGGACCGUGUCAUGCUUCCUGCCGUGACGAUAAUGGACUCUUACAAGCACACCUGAAUUAAAUGUUCGCCUUUAUUAGAGUUGCCUCGACCACAGUGUCUCUUCACAGCAGCACAAGCCAAACUAAGCCACUAUUCAAGAUCGAAACAGUCAGUGUUAGUGGAGAUCCCAUUUCCUUAUUUCCAGAAGCAUGUUCUUACCUGCUGGAAGAUACAAACGCAUCUUUUUUCUGUGAAGGCCCCAUCCACAUAACAGGGUCAUCUGCCAAAUGCCUUCACCCCUUAGUACCUUUGCCUUGUGAACUGGCUUUCCGACCAUGGGUUUUUAGGAGCUCAAACAUUCAGAAUAUACCAGUCAGUAAGCUACACUGAUUUUGGUAUGAAUGACUUCAGGUCAGUGGUCCCAGGAAAAACUGGACAUACGGUAGUAAAGCUAUCAGAACACAAAGGACUUGAGCUCAUUAACCAAAAAGCGUGCUCAACUUCUGGAAAAUGUAUUAGUUCAAUUAAAGGAGCAUAGUCACCUCAGAAUUAUGUGUCAGAAAGCAAUGAAAGAGCUGCAUGUGGCCAGCACCCAUGAGACGUAAGAUUCUGGGGGGCUGAGGUAGAAAGCCUGUCUUUCAGGUCUUAUUUGCAAGGUGUAAUAAAGUGAAGCCUUGGGCUGGAGAGAUGGCUCGGUGGUUAAGAGCACUAACUGCUCUUCCAGGGGUCCUGGAACCACAUGGUGGCUCACAACCAUCUAGGAAUAAAAUAAAUAAAUCUUUAAAAAAAUAAAAAAAUAAAGUGAAGCCUUGUAUUUUUACAAACAGAAAUACCUAUAUAUAUAUAUAUAUAUAUAUAUAUAUAUCAUCACAUGUAUACUAUACUAAAUAGAUCCUGGAAUACAUUCACAGUAUAUGUGUUUAUCUUAGCGAUUCUAGAUGAAUAUAUAUAAUGAUCUUUAUUUGAUUCAUAUGGAGCAUCAUAUUUCUGUAAUAUGUUGCUAGAAUAACAAAAUGAGAAAUAUAUUCCAUGUUCUUCCUGCAGAUUUACUUAAAUGAGUGCUAGUUUCCUGAUUGUGCCAUACCCAGGAAGCAGCACAGCUCUUCUCUGCAUUCAGAACCCGCACAUGUACUCAAGAAGACAUGAAAAACAGUACAGUUUCUUCAAAGUACAAAUAGAUGUCUCCAACAGACUAGAUGUUAGCACCAAGGAUUAAAAGCUCACAAAUUCAUCACAUCAACAGAUAAAAUGUUAAUCAUUUAUUUUCUGCACAUUUCAUUGCCUUCGAUCCGCUACACCUGCUAGAGUGUGAAGUGUGAGACUUGCUGUCUUCCCUUGCAAUCUGUAUUUCUGAACUCAGAAUGUAAUUCUGAAUAAGAUCAACUUUGACCUUAUUUAAAGAACACACACUCAUUGAAUGCUGAUGCUACACUCUAAUUUUAAGCUUUAUGAUGCCUGAGAUCACAUAGUAAAUUAGUAGCAAAACCAGUGUUAAGAACUAGGUUCACUACUUCUUCAACAGUUUUCUUAAGACCUCAUUUAAAUCACACAAGAUAAAUUAAGUUCAAAUCUGCACAUAAGGAGAGCCUAAAAUAGAUCACGUGUUUUUCUGUGAAUUUGCCAAAGUGAGUUUAACCAUUUUUAUGGAUUUUGCCUAUAGUUGGGCCUGAAACCAGAUUUUUGCUUUACAGAUCAGAUUAUAUCUUAGCCAGAUUAAAAAAUAUCUCAGGAACCCUGGCAGGGUGAGCUAAUCUUGGGACCAUCUGUUUUUUGGAUUGCUCUUGGUUUUUUUUUUCCAAAGGAAUUCUGCCAACACUUUUCGUGUCACUGGCUCCUCUCUGAGCGACUGAAUUAUUCAGUGUUGGAGAAAACUUGUUCUCAGCACCAGGUUUUAAAUUUUACAGUAAUUGAUUGAGAGUAGACAUCGAGUCAGAGAUGAUUCACUCUGCAUAGCGAUUCUCACUUUCGUAUAAUAUUUAAGAAUGCUCAUAUGCUUGCAACUUUAACAGCUUCGAAAAAACCCACCUAGAAUGAUGGGAAGAGACAAUAACAGAUUCUUGGUGUCUGAAUUAAAACUAGAAAUUGCCUACAAAUUCCUCUUAGGGAUCUCUUGUUGGUGAUUAUCUAACUUGUCAAAAAGUAUCAAUUCCAUGUAAGCGUGAGUCUAAAAAGGAGCCCCCCCCCCCAGAUCCUCCAGAUCCUCUUACAGCCCUGAAACACUGUAGCAUACCUUUCUGUAUAAUGGCGGCGGCUAGGAGAGUUCUAAAAUCUUGAAGAGAAUGGUGAUGUGCUCUUUGAGUGCUAAACUCAUGACAGCUCGAUGCCUCACAUACUAGCUUUUUACUACUUUAUCUAUUUUAUUGGUAAAAAUAAAAUAUAACUCCAUUGUGUUUCCCGUUCCCCCUCGCUGUCAGCCCCCCAAUCCUUCCUACAUAACCCUCUUUUACCCUCUAUCAGCUUCAUGGCAUUUUUUCUUUAAUUAUUGAUAUGUAUAUAUAGACAUGCAUACAGACAGACCCUUAAAUAUGUAAAUACAAUUUCCUCAGUCCAUAUCCAAGAAUGUUACUAGUAUGUGUAUGAUGUCAGGACUGACAAUUAGUUAUUGGAUAGCUAAUUGGUGUGUUAUUUCCUGGGGAAAACUAAUUUUUCCACCUACAAUAUUACUUAGUUGUCUGUAGUUCUUCGUCCAUGAAUGAGGCAGAUUUCCCUUCCAUGUUAGCGUGUCUAUUGAUGUCGUCUUUGUUCAUGACUUGCUUAAGAAACAAAUUAUUAAAAUGUUAAUUAGAACUCAUGGAUAUACCUUCACCGAUAUUUCUAACAGAUGCAAUUCUACAGCAAACUUCCUGUUCCUCUGUUUCUAAUAAUGUUUCUGCCUCCUGUGCCAUGGUGAUCUCUAAGCAUUAAGUGUAGGAGUUAUGUUGUAAAUGUCUCUAAUGGAACUAGGCAACACAGCCUCUCCUUCUCUCCACUUUGAUCUGCUAUGGCUUUCGGUAAUAGUCUGUUGUAAAAUGAAGUUGCAUUGAUAAAGUAUGAGAACUAUACUUGCUUCUGGAUAACGAUUGGGAAUGUAGAUAAGAAUUGUGCUCAUUUAGUAAAGAGGUAGUUUAAGUUCUCUUCCAAUAUCCAUCAUUUUCUAGCCCCAGACAUUUGGCUAGGUUUCCAUGACAAGGCAUAGUUUUCCUCUUGUGGUGUUAGCCUUGAGUCCAAUUAGGGAAGUAUUAUGAUGUAUGCUGUGAUGUAUGCGUGUCACUAUUGCACUGAUUAAUGCUGUAGUCUGUAGGCACAGUGGGUGGGUAGGACUUUUUGUUACCUCUCUCCCUUAGAAAUUGUAUGACAGUUCAUACUAGCUCUUAAAUCUGCUCAUGUUUCAUCCAUAUCAAGUCAUAUGGUUAUGUAAGGCUAAAAACAAGGAUGAAGAGUCAAAUCUUAUCAAAUACUUGGAAAGUGAGGCAAACAGAAGAGAUUUUAUAAGUGUCAUGUUUGGACAAGAACAGAUGACUAUAUUGAAGAAAGAUCUGAAGAAAAUAUGUGGCCAAAUAAACAGUAGGGGAAAAAUCUCACAGAAUAAUUCAGAAAACAGUAGCUGAGUUCAUGUAGGUAAAAAGAUAAGUUGGCAUUGACAUGAAUAAACACAACUAUAUCCACAUUUGUAGAAGACCAAAUAGUGUUCUAUUGGGCGGCUUGCUAUAGCUAAAAUUUGCAUUAUGUAUACAAAACACUCAUGUGAAAUAAAUCAUCAAAUAGUUUAACAGCCUUAUACAAAGACCACUUAAUCAUUCUGUUCCUUGUGUUCAUCAAUGCAGUAACGGAUAUAGGGUACUUAAAUUAUCACAUUCUGCUAGUCUUUAUUUUUGAAGACUUUAUGUAGUUCUUAUUCUAAAUGAUGCUUAAUCAGACUUGGGAAGGUGAAAAGUAUCUAAAAUCUACUAAUAUGGAAUUCUAACAUUUUAUUUAUACACACACACAUACACACACAUACACAGUCUGAUAGUGAAUCUACAAUCUAAAAUUCAUUUAAAGAAUUCUCAUAUAAAUAAAUAAAAUAUUAAAAAUUAAGGAGGGGUCUUGAGAGAGAGAGAUAGUUCAGUGGUUAAUAGCAUCCACUGCUUUUGCAGAGGACCUGAGGUCAGUUUCCAAUACACGUAUCAGAUAUAAUAGCAAAACAUGAAACUCCAGCUCCAGGUGAUUUGGCGGCCUCCUAUGGACUCCUUAGAUACCUUCAUGUACACAAUAUCCAUAAUGGCAUGAAAUAUAUGCAUACCUACACAUUAAUCAAAAUAAAUACAUCUUUUAAAACAAACAGAAAUGAGCCCAUGUAUUUUUAAAAGGGGAAGUAACCUGUCCACCAAUUAAAGAUGAAGCAUUUAGCACAUAGUUUCCCCAGAGUGACCAUUUCAAAAAGGGAGAUGGCACUGAAUGGAGCUAAAUGUCAAACAACAGCAACAAGUUCUUUAAAAUUUUCUUGUCAAGGUACAUGGGUCUUUAUUAAAUUGUUGCGUCACUAAUCUAAUGGUACUUAAAUUAGAGCCCUGAAAACAGACAUCUCUGUAUGACUAUAUUCUAGUCUCCAUGACUAACUCUGAUCGUUCCCACCACUCAUGUAAAGACAUUUCAGAAGGCAGUGUGAGCAAAUUAAAAUUAGGAAAUCUCACAACAGAUUAGAAAAUUAGACAGUCAUUGGGCAAGAUAAAUAUUAUGAAUUCUUAUAACAAUAAAACUAUUACAAGUUAAACAGUAUAAAUAAUAUUUUAAUAAAACUUCAAAAAUUUACUCCUUGAAAACUUUAUAGGCAUAUAAAUGUAUCAUGAUCACAUCCACCUCUCAUUCCUUACCUUCAACUUCCCCCAGGACCUCCCAUUCCAUAUCCUUGUCAAUUGCUGCUUCUUUAUUUCCUUCUUUCUUUUUCCUUCUUUCUUUCUUUCUUUCUUUCUUCUUCUUCUUCCUCGUUCUCCUCCUCCUUCUUCCUUCUUCUUCUUCUACUACUACUACAUCUCUUCCUCCUCCUUUCUCCUACUCUUCCUCUUCCCUUUCUCCCUCUUCCUCUUUCUCUUCUUUUUCUUCACUCCUCCUCUUCCUCCUCCACCUCUUUCUAUUUGACUAAACCCAAUUACUGCUACCCAUAUGCCUGCUCCUGAGUGUGAUGUCAUCCCACUGAGAUGUGAGGAACCUAUUAGUGGUACUGUGAAGUGUUAUCCUCUAGACAUGACAUGGCUGUUGUACACACAUAAAGUUCCAGCAGUUUUAGUUACAUUCACAAGAUCCUCACAAGAAUAACCAAGUAAAAACCUCACCAUUCCAAUUGUCUACUGCCCACUAUCUGACAUAAAAUGGUUCUCUUUCCUUUAUAAGUGUUUUUGUAAAAGUAAACAUUGUACAAAAUAAAGUAUCAUCAAUAUAAUACCUUCAAGACAUGUGGAUAAAUAGAGAUUAGAGUUCCCUAAGGUGUUUUCUCUCUUCGAGUUCUAUGUGAGGAAAGUUUAAUUGAUAGUCUUAGCACUGUUAGCAUUGUUUUACAUGUGCUUCCUCUGGCAGGUUCUGUGAUUUUUCACAGGAAGCCUAUGAAGUAGAAGUCAUCACAUCUUAUACAGAGUGAAACAUGAGUUUAUGUAGAGUUGUGUAACUCACUAGAUGAGCACAUUUGGAAACUUCUCAAGUGAGAGUCAAGCUGGCCCUCAAAUCAGUACUUUGUCCAUUUCUGCAAGAGGAAUAACACAGGGCCCUGGCUCUAGGUAAUGACUCCACUUAAAAUUAAAAGGAUCCAGUGUCUUAUUAGACUUUCCAGUGGUUAAAAGUGAAUGGAAUUUUUCAAAAACCUUCAGCAAAUAUAAAAUGUUACUACAGUAUCCAACAACUUUCUCUAUCAAUAAAAAGGAUAAAAAAAAAUAAAUUUCAAUGUGACUUGCAAUGUGUAGCCUUAGUUUACUCAAACCCAGCCUUCUUAAUUAUUGAAACAUUACAUGGCAUUAUUUACAGAGCAUGAGAGUCUGCAGGUUUGAAACAGAAUAUUCCUUAAGAAAAGAGGGCAUUCUCACUAACCCCAGGGUAAACAAAGAGGGAUAGAGGCAGGCUCCUGGCAACAAAUUAUGAAAGUUAAAUCUACAAGUUAAGAUUGCAGAGAAACUUUAAAACAAACUUCCCUUCUUUGCCAUUCUUAGUUUCUUAGUCCUUUACCAUUUUUUUUGGUCUUUCAUGGACAGCCAAAAUUUAGAAAAUGCACCAAUCCCAUAGUUACAAUGACUAGAAGGAACCCAUUCCCAGGCAAGUGAGCCCUGUGUCUCCUUCAUGUCUGGAUUAUACUGGAGGGAUGCUUAACACAGCCCUGCAUUGGUAACAAGCCCCUGCACUCCCCAGAGUGGAUCCCUUUUCCUACCUUAUCCUAAACCUGACAAUCCUUAGGGAGUUCACAUCCUUCAGCUUCUCCCCUUUCUCCAUGGCUGUUCACUAGCAAUCAAGAACAUUGCUUAGCAACAAAACCAAUCUGCAUGCCCUUACUCGUUCAGGACGUCCUUACUCCCACCGAGUACACAUUCACAAUCCUGUGUUUGCCAUGUGUCAGGAGGAUGCAGAGACCUGGACAGAUUCUAGAUACACAAUAGUUCUUCCCACUCAACUUGCAGAUUCUCCAGUCAUGUGGACAUCUUUUCCAUGUCCAGGCUACAUGUUUCAUGGAAGCCAGAUAUUUCUGGAAUAAUUAAAUGCCAUAAAAUAAAAAUAUUUUUACCAAUUAAAUUUUAAAAUCCUGGAGCUGAAAAUGUGGCUCAGGACUUAAAAUCACUUUCUAAUGAUCAUACGGAGGACCCAGGUUCAGUUCCAAAAAUCCACAGGAGAUAACUAACAACCACUUGUAACUCCAGCUCCAGGGAGCCAAUGUGCUCUUCUGGCUUCCACAGACAUCUAAACACACACACACACACACACACACACACACACACACACACACACACACGGGGAGAUAGAUAUGUAUGAAUGGAUAGAUAGUGGAUAGAUAGAUAGAUAGAUAGAUAGAUAGAUAGAUAGAUAGAUAGAUGCAUACAUACAUAGGUAGAUAUAUAGAUAGAUAAAAAAAGAAAGAAAGAGAGGAAGGAAGAAAGAAAGGAAGAAAGAGAGAAAGAAAAUACAGAAAAGAUAGGCAGAUGGAUGACAGAGAAAUGUGAAAAUAGAUAAGAAGUACUAGCUCUGUAUUUCAUUGCUCAAAAGUAAACAAGUUAACAUUUUAUUGUCAGGAUCAAUACUACAUAUGAGGGAACUCUAGAUAUCAAAGAAUCAGAAAUUUCCUUGCACCUCCCUUUGAGGAAAGCUCAUCUCAUGUCAAAAUAUGAUAUACACAGACUGCUAAUGGCUCAGCUUAUCCUUUUCAGUUUUAUAACAGGGUAGAAGUGAUAUAUAUCUACUGGAAAUAGUUCUUCAAAUGUUGAACUUUGACCUUUUCCUUUGACCAUGAUGAGCUCUGCCCAUGUUAGACGGGAGAGUCCACAGUUUGCUGUCAGUCAUGAAACCAUAGAGAAAACCAUCAACAUUCUUUAUCAGAAUAUACUGCUAAGCUCCAAAUAGUUAUGUGGAUAAAUACAUUUUCUGCGAAAAACAAUGUGUUCGUCUUGUGUUUUUCAGUUCGCAAUCUUUUUUCAGUUCACAACAUUAUUGUAAGUAGAAGAAUAUUUGCAUAUACUCGUGGGUGAAUUGCUAUACCAGUGACAAACUUCAGUUCAUACUCACUGGCAUCAUCAAUACUAACAAGGACAAGAACCUUUGGGUACUGGGCCAGUGUCAUUUCAAAGCUGACUAGGGCAGAAGUACUGGGGCCACACACUGCCUUUCUAUUAUAAUAAUGCAUGAUAGAAUACAUGCAGGGACAAAUCAGGAGUGAUGUUCUGUGAGUUUAUACAGAAUAGAAAUAUCUAUGUAGCACAGGGAAAUAAAAGGGAGUCUAGGAGUGGGAAUUCAAAAGGGAGAUUGCCUCAAAGCAAUGCUAUAUAUACACACCAAGUGAGAGAGGGUGGAAAGAAAGAAGGAGGAA